ACCAUGAUUCUCCUGCCAAGUGCUAGGGUUACAGGCAUGUGCCGGGGUGAAUGGGCCGUUGUCUACCCUUCUUCCACAGCCUUAGUUCAGGUUUUGUCUUCCAGGCUGUCAAGAUUCCACUCCCCUCUACAUUUCCCUUGAGACAGGGUUCACUACAUAGCCUGGGCUAGCCUAGCAAACUUCAUGUAGACCAGGCUGGCCUAAAACGAAAAUAACUACCACUGCCUCCCGAGUGCUUGGAUUAAAAAUGUGUGCCACCACACCUGAGUGUCCCUGUACUCUUAUAGCCAAGCGCUUCCUAGCCCCCAAGAGAAGACAUUCUGACUAGGGCUGCCUUCAGCAUCCACUUCAGUGCAAACCACAAGUCCUUGCCAUCUUCCCACUACCUACAGGACAAAGUCCCAUAAAUUUAGGUGGCCUCUCCCUGCCUAAGCUUCUAACCUGUGUGGUUCCUGCUGCAGCUUCAGCUCUGCUGAGCCUCUCAGCAACCUCAGCCUGCUGGGGGCAUUUUAUUGACUUCUCAGAACCCAAUUUCUCUGGUUACCCCUGCUUUUCCUGACCGCUGCCAACCAGCCAGCCAGCUAGCGGGCCCCUCCAGUCCUUCAGACUGAAAAGCCCUUGCUGACUCCAGCUUCUCGCCAGGCUGUGCACACACGUGCUUGUGUCCUUGAUGCUCACAGCUUUACCUUUAGGACUUGGCAAUAGGGCCCGGCCCAAGGUGGGACUUGAUGCUUCUUGGAUGAAGAUGUGAGGAGAAACUUCGAGGUUUGAGUAGCUAAGCUUGUGAGGACAGGCACCUGAGGAGUGACUAUGAGAGGCGGAGCUGGCUUUGAAGAGCUUGAGGGGGAUAAGAGUGAAUUCUGGCCUGUAGUCCAGUCUGUGUGAGCUGCUCUCUUUCAACUCAGAGCCUCAUUGUGUAGCCCAUCUUUGGCUUGGCCUACAAAUUGUGAUCCUCCUGCCUCAGUCUUCCAAGUGCUGGGGUGACAGGCACCACCAUGCUCAUCUUCCAGCAGACAGUUUGAAUGACUGGUGGAGCUUGAGAGAAGUGUGGGCGCUCUGCGUUAGGAACAUUUUCGCCGUGGCAAAAAGGCGGAUGUAGAGGGUCUCCUUUAUAGCACAGCUCCCGGGCUCCUCUCCUGCAGAAAGAAAUUCCUUCAAGUUGGAGCCCAGGACAAGGCUUCUUCAGAGAGGCCCUCAGGGUUGCAUAUGGGCUCCUGGGAGAAGGAUGGAUGGCCCAAGGCCUGGGGCAGCCAUGAUUUCUGCUGGGACCGGAGCGUGCUGUUCUUAACAAGACUUCCUGGCUCUGGAUGGGUUCAAGCCUCAAAGAAAGUAAAAAAACACUGCUCAGGCCAGUGGGAGAGAGACUGCGGCUACAACAGUGCCCCAGGCUCUGGGCCUGUUACCUUUCUCCGAUCUGUGGGGCCAGCAGUUAGGUCCAGGUUAGUGUUCAUCCAGGUAGGGUAGGGUGAGAGCCACACUCACAUACUCAGACCAAUCACAAAGGGCACUAAGGCAGGGGCCAGUGUAGCCUAUGUACAGAGCAGCAGUGCUAGCUAAGCUAUCCCACAGCCUGGGCUCUAACAGAGGCCACUGCCCCCAGAGGCCUUGUCUUCCUACCCGGUCCCACCCCCAACACCAUCACUGGCUUCUGGCCACUCUUCCAGAUCGCACCCAGAAUCAGAUCCCGCCUGGAACCCAGAAUCCACCCAGAACCAGAUUCUACAUGGAACCCAGAUCCCGCCUGGAACCAGAUCCCACCCCGAACCCAGAUCCCACUGGGAACCAUAGCUAUGCUGGAGAAAACACCCAAUUUGUUUCACAAAGAUGGGAAAGUGUGGGUCUCAAAUGGCUACCUAAUCAGGGUUCUACAUGCAUACAGUGAACUUGAUGGUGAAUGGCCUUGGGGCACUACUGCCUAGACAGAUGACCGUGAAGUUGGAGGUAGCUUAUGGGGGAAUAUGCAGGCAGGAGCUGCAGACAAUGAGGCUCUGAGUUGAAAGAGAGCAGCUCGACGUCUAAGCUCCUUCCUAGUAGCCACUUGCUGGAAGUAAGCAAAUGAGCUCACAUAGCUUUGUUCCCUGCAGCUGGCCUUAGGAGUCAGUACUCUCAAGAGUUACCACUCAAUUCAUGAUAUCCAUUCAGAACGGGGCCAGAGCAACAGUCACACACUCAGGCUCACAAUGGCUAAUGGUUCUACAGAAUGUGGAACUCAGGAAGAAGAAGACCGUGACUUAAAUGACUGUUUUCUUCCACAGAGCAGAAAAGCUUGCCUGUGAGAGAGGAAAAGGCAGAAACAAGAAGAACAGGUAGACUUGCCCUGCAGGAAUGUCUGGUUUCAACCCCCAGGAUCAAAAACAUUUUUGAAGGGGUUUUCUGACCAUGUAGUAGAACUCGGUGGCUCUGAGUGUAAUCCUAGAAUUGGGGAGGUAAAUCCAGGAGGAGCAGGAGUUCAAGACUCACUUCAAUAUGUAGAGAGGUCAAGGCCACACUGGGCUACAGGGAAGCCUCUGGGGCAGGGAAAGACGGGGUGAGGGAGUAAGAGGAGGUAAAGGCUUGGCCUCAGCCUGGUUCCUGUCUGAUCCACAUCUCUACCCUGGAACGCCCCAUGUUUGACUCAACUAACUCAGCUACAGUUCAAGAAUCCUAAUUAAUGUUGUUUAGCAACGUGCCUGUCUGAAUUCAGUGAAUGUCCAGCACCUGCAGAUGGCUCACCAACCAGGCCUGAUGCCCAGGCUCCAACAGUGAAGGAAGAGAACCAACUUCUUCAUGCUGUCCUCCACCUCGACUGCACCCUCUGGCACACACAUAUCUGCACUGAUGAACCAACGAGUAAACAAGUAGAAUCAAAUCCUUUCCUAAGCACGGGGGUUCUCAGUCAGAGUCCUCUCUGCAAGGUGACUCCCCUGAACUUCCGCUUCAGCUAUUGCUGAUAGAUCAACAAUAACGGAGUCUCCCUGUGUCGGAGCCUAUGGGCAGCGGUGAGUGCCUCCCGGCUGGACAUGUUGGGGCCUGCACUCACGCCUGUCCCCAGAACACAUUCUCCAUGUUCUCAUUAGCUCAGUGCUCCAUCCUCACCCGCAGCCCUCACCAAACUGCUCAAGUCUCUUGACGCUUCUUUUUUCUCUGGCCUUGUAUUAAAGCUCUUGGGGACUAAA
rnacentral:sRNA from 1 species